GCGCCGCUCGGCGGGGGGCCGCGGGGGCGGGAGGCAGGGAGGGGAGCUCGGCGCCCACAAGAGGGAGCGGGAGGGAGAGAGGGAGAGGAGGCACCUGCUGCUUGCUGGUCGCGGGGGUUGCUGUCGCCGCCGCGGCGCUCAUCCCCUUUCGGCUGGAGGCGAGCCAGCCUCGUCGGUUCCCCCUCAUCCUGUAGCGGCGCAGCCCAGGGGAAGCUGCCCCGGCCGCCUCCUCCUCUCCUUUUGCGCGGCAGAGCGCGGAGUCGGGGGUCCCCACUCCUCCUGCUGCUGUCCCGCCAUGGGGUGCUCGAGCAGCGCUCAGACCCAAGUCAAAGACGGCAGCCGGCCGGCUUCCACGUCCCCGGACGCCAACGGUCUGAAGAAGUGCGAUGACAACUUACCCAUCACGAAAGAAAAUGACACAAUAUCUGACCAGUGCAAACUUGUUGCAAUAAAGAAAGCAGAGCUUGAACCUCAUGGAACAAAACUCAGUGAGGGUUUGGCCAAAGAGGAGGCAGAUGUUUUGAUUCCAGGAAUAACAAGUUGUGCCCUUUCUACCUGUCAGAGAGUAGACCCUGAAGGCACAGAGCCUCAGCCAGUGACACUGGAAGAGACAUUGGACAGUAGUGGACCUUUGUCUCCACCUCUUUUAGAAGCUGGUGAGCCUUUGCCUGUGGAACCAUCCAAGGAGGUUGUUCUUGAACCUUGGGAUGCCAGCGAAGCUGCUGACGGUUUGGUUCCUCAAACUAUACAUGACAGUAAGCCUGAAUCUGUUGAAUCGUCACAGCAUGACACACCUGAGCCUGUGGCAGAAGAAAGUGCUAAUCUUGUGAUGGAAAUUGUAAAGGAACUGCAAGUGGAUGAAGAGGAACAGCAAACUGAGGGUGAGACAGGAGAAAAGACGGAAACUGAGAUGCACCAUGAGAUAGUAAGUGCGGGCUCUGAAACAAAAGAAGAAGAAACGGGAGAAGUUACAGCACCAGCAGCAACAGAAGAGAUAGAAGCUACUAAUAACGAAGAGUGACUCAUGGCUUCUGACUGGACUUCAUUUUUGGCUGUGCAAAUAACAUUAAUACUGCAAUAUCUUGGUCUUUAUAACAGCUUGUAUGGACUUGCCACAAUGAUUGAACUCUAGGUGGAAAACAUUUUAAGGAUAGCAUUUCAGAACGUCACGUUGCCAAGACACCACUAUGGAAUUGCAAUGUUAAGCCUUCAGUUCUGCCAGAGUGACUCCUCCUGUCAACUUUAAAGAGAAUUAUGUGUUAUCAAAUAACUUUGCUUUUCAGCUAAAAAAUUACAUGUCAGGGCUCAUUUAGAACUACAUAAACAAUAUAAAGCAUGCAACUGGAUGCAGGUGACUUUACAUCUUGCAUUGAAUGCUGGAAAAAUCUGUAUGGUCUGAAGUAGGAUAGGAAUCAUUUUGUCUUCCAGCCAUACAUUAUUGGAUUGUACCAAUAAAAUAAUUCUGUGAAGUUAUCUAAUAAAUACA
rnacentral:lncRNA from 1 species